rnacentral:lncRNA from 1 species
GUGUAAUUUGGAGAAAUCUAUCACUCAAAUUUUCUUUUUUUUUCUAAAUCUAGCAUCUCUCCCUCUUUCUUCUCCAAGUCCGCCCCCACCGGAGACAAAGACAACUGCAGCGGUGACUAGGGUUCUGACAAGCCUCUAUCUCUCUUUCUUUUUCAACUCCAGCUCACUCGAGAGAGACGAAAAUUCAUGUGAUGGCUCACUUGGGAUAUAGACAGGGGCGGAGCUGCGUUGCUCAUAGGGGGUGCAAAUGCAACCCCCCCCCCCCCACCCCACAAAAAAAAAUCAAUAACAUUAGAUUUGGUUAAAAUUUCACCAUAUAUGCACCUCCCUACAAACCAUACCAUCUUUAUGCACCCACAAGGCAAGUGCACCCCCCUCUAAUUUACUUUAGCUUCGCCAC